GCGUUUGAGAUGACGAAAGCACGUCUAACAUCAGAGUCAACGUCAACUGCACUGAAAUAGAAGGGGAAAAAAAUAAAAAAGCAAGAAAAAUAGAAGAGCUUCAAACGGUAACCUAAAAGCUAGGGUUACUGAAAAGCGACUGUUGCAUCCCCUGAUCCUCCCAUCUUCUCCAGGAAAUUGGAUCGAGGGGUGAUUUUUAAGCAAGGAAAGUGCGUUUAGCAGUCAUAUCCUGGGCAGUAUAUUUAGAGCUCUCUUCCAUUGAGAAGAGAAGUUGAGGAUGGCUAAGAUUGCAACUAGCAUACACUUGCCGAAGGAGCCUCAGUAUUAUACACGCAAGUGGUACUUCAGUAGACAAGAAAUUGAAGACUUUUCCCCUUCUAGAAGGGAUGGUAUUGACAUUGAGAAGGAGUCUCAAUUACGGAAAUUGUGCUGUUCAUUUAUUAAAGAGCUCGGCGUGAAGCUUAAAGUGCCCCAGGUGACAAUAGCAUGUGCAUUGAUAUUGUGCCACCGGUUUUACAUGCGUCAAUCUCAUGCAAAGAAUGAUUGGAAGACAAUGGCAUCUGCAAGCAUGUUUCUUGCUUGCAAACUGGAGGAAACUCCGCGCUUGCUGAGGGAUGUUGUUGUUGUGGCUUAUGAGCUGAUUCACAAAAGGGAUCCUUCUGCCUCACAUAGAAUCAGGCAGAUAGGAUUUUGCAGUAGUCAGAAGGAAUUACUUGUAACUGGAGAGAGGCUUUUAUUGGCAACAAUUGGUUUUGAUCUUGAUGUCCAACUUCCUUACAAGCCACUUGUAAAUGCUUUGAAGAAAUUGAACAUAUACCCAGAUCUUGCAAAAGUAGCUUGGAAUUUUGUGAAUGAUUGGCUUUGCACAACUUUAUGCUUGCAGUACAAGCCCCAUUACAUCGCAGCCGGUUCCAUGUAUCUCGCUGCCAAAUUUCAAAAGGUGAAACUUCCUACAGAGAAGGGAAAUGUCUGGUGGCUGGAGUUUGACAUUUCACCUAAACAAUUGGAAGAGGUCAUCCAACAGAUGGCCAGGUUGUUAGAACAAGAUCCAAAAAGGACUCUUCCAGCAACGCAUGGGAGGGUUCCACAAUCUAAAGCUUCUGCCAAGAAGAUGGUUACCAGUAGUGCGCAAUCAGCUGUUACGAGUGUAUCAAUGUCUAAUUCACUUGCUAGCGAUGGGGCUGUGAUGGAAGAUUCAUCCUCAUCUGACAGAAACACCAGCCUGAAUGAAGUUUUACCAUGUCGAACAAUUGAUAGUGGUGCAAGCAGUGUUGUUGAGGAUGGUGAUGGUAAGAAUCAGCCAAGAACAGGGGACUAUGAGUUGAGUUCCAGCAGCAAUGUUGCGCCAUCUUAUAAUUCCCAUCAUAACAUUGAUGUUCACCAGAUUAGAGAAACAUUAAAGAGACGGAGAUGCCAGAUAGCUGUAAAAACUAGAGCUUCAUUGUCCAAUGAAACCAUGGAUGCUGAGUUAGAUACGGAAACCUGGAUAGAAAGAGAGCUAGAAGAAGGGAUAGAGUUGCACACUGCUCCUUCAGAGAAGAAACGAAGGAAGGUGUGAUUCGGAGGAUAAGAGCUAAAAUAGUUACAUAUAGUUGAACGAGUUUCAGUAUUCGGACAUGCAAAUCUUUCUUGGUCUCCUGCAAUUGUCAGGCUUUGAAAUAACACUGAAGUCGAUGGAGAGUUUCUUUAAGGGGUCAUUCGCGCAGGAAGAAGCAAAUCAAGAUCGCAAACAGAUCACGUGAAAGGUCCAGCAUCAUUGGACUACAUCUGUAGACAAAGACAAGAAAGCCUAUCUGUGCUUUAUGCUGGACGACGACCUGGAUAAGAGUUGGCACGAGAUAUGCCAACCCCAGUAGAUUAUAGCCAGAAAGAUAGAGGAAUUAUAGAGAACAAGGAAAUAUUUCUAAGGGCUCAGUGGACAUGGAAAGCAAAGAAAAGCAUAGCCCUCCUUCUAUUGAAUUUUCAUGCCUUUAAGCUUGACAAAGCAUGUAUUCUCUGGUGCCCACGACUUGUCUUCUUCUCAACACCUUUAAAUCCUGCUCGCUUGCUGUUUGGUAGCGUGGUUGCACUCAAGAUUAAAGGAGGCCGCAGUAUUUUUAUGCUUGGUUAUGUUUCAAACCCACUUUUAUUUUUAUAGAAUCCAUCAAUACUUGUGGCCAAACCUGUGAUUUAA